rnacentral:rRNA from 1 species
GUGGACGGUCAUAGGAGCCUGGUUCACCGGAUCCCAUUUCGAACUCCGCAGUUAAGAAGGCUUCCGUUCUGCCCGGUACUGUACUUAUGUACGGGAAGAGCAGAAAGCUGUCCACA